AAGUCGUAACAAGGUUUCCGUAGGUGAACCUGCGGAAGGAUCAUAAAAGUUGACUCUUCGGAGACUUCCACCCUUGCAAAUAUACGUCUGCUUGGCUUCGGCCAAAAUUUUAUUCGUGACUGUUUCUGAAUGAGCAAAAUAACAAA
rnacentral:misc_RNA from 1 species